GGCCAACUUGUCAUCGGAUGUAACUGCAAGACGCUCCGUGGUCCUCAAAGGCCUUCCCAUCGUCUUUGGUGAUGACCCAAACAAGUUCUAUAAGACAUGUUUUGAGACAACGAAAGAUGAGGCCAUAGACAAUGUCACAGUCGGUGUAUUGACCAUCCUAAGUGAAGACGAUCCUGAGCAGCCCGUGUCCACAGCCAUCGUCCUUGAGGGAGGUAUUGUGAUGGACAAAAUUCGGGACUUGCCACAGGCAUUUUGCCUCAUAUUUGGCCUCACAUAUGCCUUGAACCUCGAUUACCCAAAAUGUGUUGGAAACACAUUCAAAUUCAUUCAAAGUGUAAUGCUUGGUUUGGGAAACAAAGCCCUCCCCCCAAAACUGUUAACAGUUAAAAACAUGUUGUUUGACGAAUGAGGAGUCAGAUGUGAGGUAGCACUCAAGAACUGCUUAUGACAGAGACAUGAGAAGAGAUGCCUUAACUAAACAGUAUUUUGAACAUUUUAAGAGCUGCCUAGAUGCAGUUUAUUUGUUGAGUUGAUUUUCAAAUCUGUUCAGUGCUUUUAUGCUGGUGGUAUAUAUAGUGCCCUCUUGUGAAUUCAGGUGUUAAAAUGUUGUGUAAAAAGAAAUAUAUGUUGGAUAAUGUGGCAUACCGUUAAUGUUCUUAUGACAGAGAAGAGGCGUUUGAUGCUUUUAUAAACAGCAUUUUGAACUGUUUAAGAGUCAAGUGAAAAUAUAAUCAUCAUUUCAUUGUUCAAUUGAUACUCAGACCUGUUGAGUGCUUUUACAAUAAUGCUUUCUUUUGAAUUCUGAUGUUAAAAUGUUGAUUAAAAAGAAAUGUGAUAUGUUGGAUGAUCUAGCCAGCAAAUACCUGUAAUCCAGCAUAAAUUGUGCGUGUUAAGAUUCACAGUAAGUCUGCAUACUGUUAAUGUUUUUAUGACAGGAAGAGAGGUUUGCUUUUAGCAUUUUGAAAUGUUCAAGAGUGACGUGAAAACAUUUUCAUUUCAUUUCAAUUUUUUUUACAAUAGUGCCUUGUGAAUUCAGGUAUUAACGUGUUAAAAGAAAUGUGAUAUGUUGGAUAUUUGGAUACUGUGACCAGCACAUAAUCCAUCAAAAAUUGUGAGCACAAAAUCUGCAUACUGUUAAUUCUGUACACGUUUUAAAUAAAUUGAAUGCAGAUGACA